rnacentral:rRNA from 1 species
CGGGGGCAAUCUGCCCUUCACUCUGGGACAAGCCCUGGAAACGGGGUCUAAUACCGGAUAACACCGGCCUCUGCAUGGAGGCUGGUUGAAAGCUCCGGCGGUGAAGGAUGAGCCCGCGGCCUAUCAGCUUGUUGGUGGGGUAAUGGCCUACCAAGGCGACGACGGGUAGCCGGCCUGAGAGGGCGACCGGCCACACUGGGACUGAGACACGGCCCAGACUCCUACGGGAGGCAGCAGUGGGGAAUAUUGCACAAUGGGCGAAAGCCUGAUGCAGCGACGCCGCGUGAGGGAUGACGGCCUUCGGGUUGUAAACCUCUUUCAGCAGGGAAGAAGCGAAAGUGACGGUACCUGCAGAAGAAGCGCCGGCUAACUACGUGCCAGCAGCCGCGGUAAUACGUAGGGCGCAAGCGUUGUCCGGAAUUAUUGGGCGUAAAGAGCUCGUAGGCGGCUUGUCACGUCGGGUGUGAAAGCCCGGGGCUUAACCCCGGGUCUGCAUCCGAUACGGGCAGGCUAGAGUGUGGUAGGGGAGAUCGGAAUUCCUGGUGUAGCGGUGAAAUGCGCAGAUAUCAGGAGGAACACCGGUGGCGAAGGCGGAUCUCUGGGCCAUUACUGACGCUGAGGAGCGAAAGCGUGGGGGAGCGAACAGGAUUAGAUACCCUGGUAGUCCACGCCGUAAACGUUGGGAACUAGGUGUUGGCGACAUUCCACGUCGUCGGGUGCCGCAGCUAACGCAUUAAGUUCCCCGUCCUGGGGAGUACGGGCCGCAAGGCUAAAACUCAAGGGAAUUGACCGGGGCCCCGCACAGGCAGCGGAGCAUGGUGGCUUAAUUCGACGCAGCGCGAAGAACCUUACCAAGGCUUGACAUAUACCG